rnacentral:rRNA from 1 species
AGUAAUGCUUGGGAAUCUAGCUUAUGGAGGGGGAGUAACUACGGGAAACUGUAGCUAAUACCGCGUAGAAUCGAGAGAUGAAAGUGUGGGACCUUCGGGCCACAUGCCAUAGGAUGAGCCCAAGUGGGAUUAGGUAGUUGGUGAGGUAAAGGCUCACCAAGCCGACGAUCUCUAGCUGGUCUGAGAGGAUGACCAGCCACACUGGGACUGAGACACGGCCCAG